rnacentral:lncRNA from 1 species
AUGAAUUAAAUUUCAGUAGGUCACCAUUACAUAGUAGGCCAACUACUUGAUUAUACAAGGAAACUAACUAUAUAGGGAAACCAGAAAACUAGAGUGAUCUUAGGAAGUUAGUCAUGGUAAGCUAAAUCUCCCUUUCUAUUUAUGAAAGCAUAUACAACCUGUAUGGUAAGCUAAUUAUGGAUUAUAUUGAUAGUUCAGGCAUCAUAAACAUGUAUAAGGAUCAUCAUCUAAAAUAACAUAUAGGAUUUUUAUCGUAACCAUCCACAGUUAUGUAGACCACACUAUCAGUUUGUGGACACAUACAAAUCUCGACAGAUCAUGGUUUAGGAAAAUACUUAGAAGAAUAAGAAGAAGAAUCAACAAUAUAAGCAUGCAGACCAUUGCAGGAGUCACAUCACAAUCACUAACAAUUUAGCUCAUGCAAAUUUUUAAAAAGUACACAUAUUUAUAGACAAGCCCUCAAGCAUAAACAAAGCUCCACCAGUAUCAAAGAACAUGCCAGUCAAAUAAUUAAGUUACUUACAAAUAUCACAUCAAUGAAAAAGCAUAUGUGUAGGUACUUUAUAGCCCUGCUUACUUUCAUAGUUAGGACUAAUUGACCACAAUUAUCAAAUUAAAACUUUUUCUCACAACUAUCCAUCCAUGGAUUCCAAAAGUAAUCACUAAAGAGCGUCGCACCAAAAACUUUCAACCUAUUGUAAAUAUAGUAAAUCAAUGAUAGGAUUGAUUAUUGUUUUAAAUAGAGUAAAUCAACUAUAGGGCCGUCAGUUAUAGGGCUGAUUGCAGGGCUGAUUUAUAUGCAUUUAAUUAUAGCUUGAUUCUAGGGAUUUAGAUUAAUCCUAG